AACGAACGCUGGCGGCAGGCCUAACACAUGCAAGUCGAACGCCCUAGCAAUAGGGAGUGGCAGACGGGUGAGUAACACGUGGGAACGUGCCUUUCGGUUCGGAAUAACCCAGGGAAACUUGGACUAAUACCGGAUACGUGCGAGAGCAGAAAGAUUUAUCGCCGAAAGAUCGGCCCGCGUCCGAUUAGCUAGUUGGUGAGGUAACGGCUCACCAAGGCGACGAUCGGUAGCUGGUCNGAGAGGAUGAUCAGCCACACUGGGAC
rnacentral:rRNA from 1 species